AAAUAUAAACAUUCACCAUAAAUACAAUUCUAUUUAUAACAUGGUUUUUGAUCCUUUUCUUAUUCCCAAACUGAGUUACACUCCUAUUAGUACAAAUCUAAUAGAGUAUAAAGCACUCCAAUUACUCGGAUUAAUGUUAAGAAAUAAAUGACCCAACAUUUAAUCCAUUUUUCUCAUUAAAUUGGGAUUCAACAGAAAAUUAAAAGAAAAACCGCAACGGUUCCCCAAUACGAACACGCCGAUAUGCACCAUCGGAAAGCGGAAGUCGACAUCAGAGGAACACAGAAACGGCGGCCACGUUUCUACAACUUCUCUCAUUCCAUCUAUUUUCCUUCUUUAUACACUGAAUCAUGGAAGAUAUUACUCUCAAUCAAAUUUUCGUUAUUAUAGUCCAAGAAGGGCAGGUUUUUUCUAGAUGCGUGUAGAAGUAUAAAAGACGGAGGUCAACAGAUGCUUCAGUAACCCGUAGCAAUAAGAUAAUCGACACAUAAUGUACUCAUUUCAAUCUUCCAAUGUAUGAAAAAUGGAUAAAUAUGAAGAAUGGUUCACUUGAAUGGAGACUUUUGCCAAUACAAUUGUUUAGUCUAUGUUUUCUGCACUUUCAAAAUUACCUAGCUUAGUCUAAUUUCAUUAUGUUUCCUUCUUCUGUUAUUCUGAGUAUAGAUUACUGUAAUGUUAAUCAGUUUGGUUGUUCACUGUGGGAUGUUAGAUGUGUAGGAGAGGUCUUUUAAAUGCUUGGCAUUGUAUGAACUUGUAUAUGUUGAUAAGGAUGGACAACUAGUUUAUUUAUUCAUAUCG